rnacentral:rRNA from 1 species
UACGCAGGUGGCAAGCGUUGUCCGGAAUUAUUGGGCGUAAAGCGCGCGCAGGCGGUCUUCCAAGUCAGUGGUGAAAGCCCGGAGCUCAACUCCGGAACUGCCAUUGAAACUGUUGGACUUGAGUAUGAGAGAGGUGAGUGGAAUUCCCAGUGUAGAGGUGAAAUUCGUAGAUAUUGGGAAGAACACCGGUGGCGAAGGCGGGUCUCUGGGCAGUAACUGACGCUGAGGAGCGAAAGCGUGGGGAGCGAACAGG